rnacentral:piRNA from 1 species
UGGCAAACCUUUAUAGAUCUGGUGCA